GCUGGCUUAGCUCAAUUGGUAGAGCACCUGAUUUGUAAUCAGGGUGUUGAGGGUUCAAGUCCUUUAGCCAGCA
rnacentral:tRNA from 1 species